UACAGAGGGUGCGAGCGUUGUUCGGAAUUACUGGGCGUAAAGCGCGCGCAGGCGGCCCUUUAAGUCCGCUGGUGAAAGACCGGGGCUCAACCCCGCGUCAGCCAGGGAUACUGGAGGGCUGGAGACACGUAGAGGCAAGCGGAAUUCCGGGUGUAGCGGUGGAAUGCGUAGAGAUCCGGAAGAACACCGGAGGCGAAGGCGGCUUGCUGGGCGUGAUCUGACGCUGAGGCGCGAAAGCGUGGGGAGCGAACAGG
rnacentral:rRNA from 1 species